rnacentral:rRNA from 1 species
CCUAUCAACUUUCGAUGGUAGGAUAGUGCCCUACCAUGGUGGUGACGGGUGACGAAGAAUUAGGGUUCGAUUCCG